rnacentral:rRNA from 1 species
AUUUAUAAAAUUGUUUUAUUAUUAUUAUUAAUAGAAUAUUUAAAUUAAAUAAAUUUUUGUUAUUGUAAAAUGAAUUGAUAAAAUUAUAUUUGCUAUAGUAAAUUAGUACUUGUGAAGGAGUUUAAAUGAUUAAUUAUAAUUUAAUAAAGAUAAUUUAAUUAAUUGUAUCUUGUGUAUCAGAGUAUAUUAAAAUGGAUUAAGAAUUUUUUAUUCUCGAAUUUUAAAGAUUUAAUUAAAUAUAUUAUUUAUUGUUUCAAAAAUAUUAAUAAUAUUUAAUUAGUAAUGAGAUGUUAAUCGUUUUUAAAGAUAUCUAGUUAUUUAAUAAAUGAAUUUAAUUCAGAGAAUUUAAAUUAUUUAAUAUUUAAUUAUUUUAAAUAUUUUAUUUUCUUUAUUUUUAAAGGGAAAAACUUUUUAAAAUAUAAUUAUAAUAAGUUUUGUUGAAAGGAUUAUAUAAAUUUAGAAUUUGUUAUUAAUUUAAGGAUGUUAAAAUUUAAUUCUUAUUUUUGAAGAUUUUUAAUUAUUAUUUAAUUUUUUAUUAAAAUAUUGAAUUUAAUUUUGAAGUUUUAUGAAAAAAUGAUUUAAUUAGUAAAUUUUGAAAUUUAAUUAUUAAAUUUAAUUGAAAUGUUAAUAUGAAGAAUUAGGCAAAUAUUUUGCUCACCUGUUUAUUAAAAACAUGGUUUCUUGAAUUAUUUAAGAGAUUUAACCUGCCCACUGAAAUAUUUAAAGGGCCGCAGUAUUUUGACUGUGCGAAGGUAGCAUAAUCAUUAGUCUUUUAAUUGAAGGCUAGAAUGAAUGGUUGAAUGAGGUGAAUUCUGUUUUAUAUUAAUUGAAAUUGAAUUUGGACUUUAAGUAAAAAGACUUAAAUAUAAUUAAGGGACGAGAAGACCCUAUAGAGUUUAAUAAAUUUAAUAAUUUGAUUUAGUUAUUAUUAAAUUUAAUUAUCAUUAUAAAAUUUAUUUGAUUGGGGAGAUUAGAAAAUAAAAUAAACUUUUCUUUAAGUUUAAUAUUAGUAUAUUAGUUAAAUGAUCCAUAAUUAAUGAUUAAAAGAUUAAAUUACCUUAGGGAUAACAGCAUAAUUUUUUUUAAGAGAUCUUAUCGAAAAAGAAGAUUGUGACCUCGAUGUUGGAUUAAGAUUAGUUUUAAGUGUAGAUAUUUAAAGAACUGAGUCUGUUCGACUUUUAAAAUCUUACAUGAUCUGAGUUUAAACCGGUGUAAGCCAGGUUGGUUUCUAUCUUUAAUUUUAUCAAGUAUUUUAGUACGAAAGGACCAAAUAUUUAAAAUAAUUUUAUUGAAUUGAAUAUUAAUAAGUUAAUUAUAA